GGCCGAGUGGUUUAAGGCAGCAGUCUUGAAAACUGCCGUAGGUGAAAGCCUAGCGUGGGUUCGACAAGGCGGCGCAGCCGCCGCAGGAC
rnacentral:tRNA from 1 species